AGACUUGGACCCCUCGGGGAGCGCGCGCGGGCCACCGAGAGCUCCACUGCUGAAGUCGGAACCCCUACCCCCGGACUGCCACAGAGCGGUGAGCUCUUUGGCAGAUGGGAGGGACUGAUCACAGUCCUGAGACGCCCCGAAGCGCAGUCCCCUUUGAGGAAGCAAAUGUAUGUAUUUGUUGGGAUGAGAUCAGCUAUAAAUAGCCACAUACAGAAAUAUAUUACAAGAUGGAUUGCCCCAAAAGACAGAUUGCAAUGAGAGUCAGAAACUGUUCUAUGAAGUAACUCUCAGAGGUACAACACUUGCCAGAAACAGAAAAGUAACUAACACACAAUUGGGAGAAGCACAUACUACUUGAAGAAAUGAUCUUGAAGUGUAGUUAAAUUGGAAAAGAUGACCCAGCUUCCAAAACAUGUGUCCUGCCUGGGCUUCUCUCAGCAAGACCAAGAGCAAAGUGGCAAAGGCUAUGCCCAACAUGGCUAGGCAAAGAUAAGUCAAAUCCAGAGUAGGAUAUGGAUCUACAAGCAAACUGUAGGAAGUCAAACAAAAGAGGAGAAAAAUACCUAGAUGAGGAGAGUACACCUCUGGCUAUGUCCAUGAGUGUUUCUGGAUAGGACAAACUAAGGGAAUACUGAAUAUGAAUGGCAGCAUUCUUUCCCUCGGACCCACAACCAAUGGAAGAGGAACAAGGAAGAAGUUUGCUAUUAUAGUCAUAUAAUCUGUGCUUCCUGGUCACCAUGAUGUGCACUUUCUAAUCUGACUCUGCCUACCAUGUCAGAAUGAGACUCCAAAACUGACACAAUAAAUCAUUUUCCCUUUAAGUUGGUUUGC
rnacentral:lncRNA from 1 species